UCCCUGGCAGUCCAGUGGUUAAGACACUGCAUUUCCACUGCAGAAGGCACAGGUUUGAUCCCUGGUUGGGGAA
rnacentral:tRNA from 1 species